AUCCACCCUCCUGGGGCGUGUUCUGGGGCCUCUCGGGAUGAGUAAGGCCUCACCUGGGACACGUCCUUUCCGGGGGUCCUCGAAGAACCGAAGGCAUCAGCGGCGAAGGGAAGGACAAAGCGUCGCAGAGGUCACCGCAGUUCCAUAUCAACAGUUAGGGUUGCUGAGACUGUUCAACCAAACGUUCCCGCCGGAGGGUCCCACGGCCGAGAAGCCUGUGCCCUAAAGGGGCGGGCCACGCGAAGGACCCCGCGCCCCCUAGUGUGCGGUCUCUGGGCCUGGAGGCCCGGGUCAGCGCCCCUGCUACCCGCGGGCACGCGCCUGCCCAUGCUUCUCCAAGCCAAGGCUUGGCCUCCUCCCUGACACCCUCACCCCUUACGAUAUGGACUCAUUGUUUGCAGGGAAGAGGAGACCCCCCUGAAGGACUUAGAAUUAAAAUGUUUCCGUGAAAA